UACGGAGGGGGCUAGCGUUGUUCGGAAUUACUGGGCGUAAAGCGCGCGUAGGCGGCUUUGUAAGUUAGAGGUGAAAGCCUGGAGCUCAACUCCAGAACUGCCUUUAAGACUGCAUCGCUAGAAUCGUGGAGAGGUGAGUGGAAUUCCUGGUGUAGCGGUGAAAUGCGCAGAUAUCAGGAAGAACACCGAUGGCGAAGGCAGCUCUCUGGGACGGUACUGACGCUGAGACGCGAAAGCGUGGGGAGCGAACAGG
rnacentral:rRNA from 1 species